rnacentral:rRNA from 1 species
UUUGACCUCGGAUCAGGUAGGGAUACCCGCUGAACUUAAGCAUAUCAAUAAGCGGAGGAAAAGAAACCAACAGGGAUUGCCCUAGUAACGGCGAGUGAAGCGGCAACAGCUCAAAUUUGAAAUCUGGCUCUUUUAGAGUCCGAGUUGUAAUUUGCAGAGGGCGCUUUGGCUUUGGCAGCGGUCCAAGUUCCUUGGAACAGGACGUCACAGAGGGUGAGAAUCCCGUACGUGGUCGCUGGCUAUUGCCGUGUAAAGCCCCUUCGACGAGUCGAGUUGUUUGGGAAUGCAGCUCUAAAUGGGAGGUACAUUUCUUCUAAAGCUAAAUAUUGGCCAGAGACCGAUAGCGCACAAGUAGAGUGAUCGAAAGAUGAAAAGCACUUUGGAAAGAGAGUCAAACAGCACGUGAAAUUGUUGAAAGGGAAGCGCUUGCAGCCAGACUUGCUUACAGUUGCUCAUCCGGGUUUCUACCCGGUGCACUCUUCUGUAGGCAGGCCAGCAUCAGUUUGGGCGGUAGGAUAAAGGUCUCUGUCACGUACCUCCUUUCGGGGAGGCCUUAUAGGGGAGACGACAUACUACCAGCCUGGACUGAGGUCCGCGCAUCUGCUAGG